rnacentral:tRNA from 1 species
UCCUGUGUGGCUUAGUUGGUAGAGCAUGGCGCUUGCAACACCAGGGGUGAGGAUUUGAAUUUCCACGGGGA